UCCCAGUUCGGACUGCAGUCUGCAACUCGACUGCACGAAGCUGGAAUCGCUAGUAAUCGCGAAUCAGAAUGUCGCGGUGAAUACGUUCCCGGGUCUUGUACACACCGCCCGUCACACCAUGGGAGUCGGAAAUGCCCGAAGUCUGUGAGCUAACUUAACGAGGCAGCAGUCGAAGGUAGAAUCAAUGAUUGGAGUGAAGUCGUAACAAGGUAAC
rnacentral:rRNA from 1 species